rnacentral:lncRNA from 1 species
GCAAAUUUAUUGAAUCCCAGAAAUAGGUUGGGAAAUUAUUUUCUGACCUUAUUAUUGUAACUGCACCCUAUAGAUAUUUAUGACUCUCCAAAAGAUAGCGAUGUUAUCAUCACAGGUACUUUAGACUACUUGAGGAUUUACAAACCCUUGAGGAGAAAGAUUUGUGAGAGGGUAUUAGAAUUUGUUGGUGUCAGAUCAACCCCUGUGCGUGCUUUCCUCCAUCAGUGCCCCUUUCCCUGACCAGGGCCCACUUCCCCCAUAAGCGAGGCCCCCUGAAGGUAGGUGGUCCUCAUCCCCUGACCACAGGCUGAGGUGCUAUUCUGAGCCUUACUUUCUUUUUUGCUUCCCAGAUCCCAGUGGGAUUCCACCUCUGCUCUGGGUGCCUUUCCACUUCAUCACCUCCAUCUCCGCAUCUCACCCAGCAAUGCCUUCCCUUGGCCCCAAACGACCUGCCUGUCUCAACACCUCGUCUGUUCAUCUGCUUGAGAAAGGAAUUCCUACUAAGGCAAAUUGGACUAUGUUUGGAACCAGAAACUGCUGGGAAACAUGGAGAAAGGGCGUCUCAUGGUUGAGGACACUCUUAACCUUGUCAGUGUAUGUUCUGUUUGUCAUUAAUGGCUUUCCCUUCUCACAUGUAUUCUCUACACUCUCCUUUUCUCCUCUCUCCCUCUCUGUAUAGAGACAUUUAACAGUGCCAGUGCCACCCCAUUGCUGAAAAGAAUAUAGAAAGUACUUUCCAGGGGACUUAGUUUUUCUUUUCUUCUUGAACUGAGUAUUUUAUUUGAAAGAGCUAUUAUUGACAUUUACACAGUUUCUAAUUUUGAGGAGUGACCAGGUGAACAACAGGGAUUGACUGUAUAUAAAGACAGUAGCAGCAUCCUGCUUUGCUAUGUUUUCACAGGGAGGAAAUAGGUGUAGGGACAGGUGAGUUAUUUUUUGAUGACUACAAUGUUUGUCACAAGCCAAACAGUAAUUCUUGUUCAUCCAUGUAGCUGUAAGCUACACUGAUUAUAAUGUGCUAUUUGUGAGAUAUUAUAGACUAGGAGAAACACAACAAGAAUUUCUGUUUAGAUUUUGAGAAAGAGUAAAGGAGUCUUUGGUCAAAGUAUGUGACAGUAUCACAUGCAGUCUUAUAUAACCAUUAUCCUUGCAAACAAUUGUUCACAGUUGAUUUUUAUAUCACCUAUAUUUAUUAGGGUUGCACUAUUAUUUUAAGAACAGAUAAAUGUCACAAGAUACAGGUAACUUACACAAGUAAAUAUCAACUCUACAACUUCAAUUUUAUCUUGAAAAAUAAUAAAUGAUCAUUUUGCAGGGAAAGACUGGCCACGUGAAUGUCUUCCUGCAUUAAACAUUUUAAUUAAAUUUCCUGUGUAUUGUGGUGUUCUGACAUCUUACAAACCCUCUCUGGGUAGGGGAGAAACUGACAUCCCUUGCAGGACAAUUCCUAAUAGGCAACAAAGGGGCCCAGGCAGGGAAAUGUUUUUGAUUUGCAAACUCAACUGAGCCAGACCUCCUGGGUGUGACCUGUGCACCUAGGCCAGCAAAGUCUGCCUAAGCAGGGCCAGUCCAGGAGCUGGGCCGCCAGAGACCUCUGCAUAGUUUAGAGCCCAUGGAGAUGAUCCAAGCCAGCCGAUCCUCUCCUCAGGGGUUCUCCUGGCCCUAACCUGCCUCUCACUUGGAAACCACAAUAGAGCCUGCUUCCUGGACUCUUCCUCACUCUUGUCUCCGCCUGCUUCCUGGACUGGCAUCCU